rnacentral:lncRNA from 13 species
UGAACCAAAUCCAGUACUUAUGAAAGCAUUAUAUGUCAUUUUCAGCAUUAAGUGCUGUGAUGUCCAUAUCCGUGGAGUACAGCUGUACCAGUGGCACAGCCAUGGUGUCCUGGGCCAGAGUGUUCGGAGCAGACUCGUACAGAGCAGUUGCUACCGGCAGUGGCAGGACCGUCCUGUCCUGCACCUCUCAGGGCACAGAGUGCCAGAUCACAGGGGUGGGCUGCGGAGAUGACUACAUGGUGCAGGUCACCGCUGUGUCCAAGAGCUGUGAGAGCAAAGUAAACGCCACCUCACACUUUGCCACAGUCCCCUGUCCUCCAAAGAAUCUCAACCUGUACCGUGAGUGUUCCAGCAACGUGAUCAUCUUCUCCUGGGCUGCCACCAACAACACGGCUCACUACAGGGCCAAGGCCGUGGACUCAGAGGGAGAAAACAUGGACUGUAUGACCUUAGACACUUCCUGUUUCUUCACCAACACUGUGUGUGGCCGUCGCUACACCUUCACUGUCUACUCUGUCAGUAGCGGGUGCAACAGCCAGGCCAGCCCACCAGUAGCAGUCCGCACCGGUACGACCACAGACACACUCACAGGCUGCUUCUGAAAUGGCAACUUAGUCCCUAUAUAGUACGUUUUACAUUUUAGACAUUUACCAGGCCCUCUUAUCCAGAGCGACUUACAGGUAAUGCAUUCAUCUUAAGAUACUGUAGCUAGGUGAGACAACCAUAAGUAGAACUUUUGACAAGGGCCCAUAGUUUUUUCAUUAUGAGAAUAUAGUAGACUAUAGUAGACUAUAUAGACUAUAAUAUAGUAGACUAUAGUGGUCAGCUUUUUGCUCACCAACACCUGACCGCAAUUGCUAAUAACCCAUCCGCAACCGCCCGACUAUAUGUGAUAAAGUGAAAAUCUGAGGCCGCACCCAAACCUAAACCACUAAUAUAGAAAAUGCACUGUAAACUAGUCAGAGACAGAUGAAUGUUUUUUUGACAGGGGGUGCAGGAUUUUCUUUUGCCUGAUUUAGAUAUGUUUAUGCUUAUAAUUUCCAACAUUUUGGUCGGCUAUUUGUUAGUCAACUGGUCUAUAAUUAGAUACAUACAGCUUCUCUCCUGUCAUUAUAUGUUGCCCUAGAAGACUAAAUAAACCCCUGCUCACCAGAAUAAUGUCAUAAAUCGAUAGAAUGAAUGAUUCAAACAAGUUGACAUCGGUAAAGUUCUUUCUCUCUGUCAUCUCUGAUUCUUUCGCAGAGUAAAGACGUUUAGGGACUGGGGAGAAAAUGCAAUAAUCCAACCACAAGAAACGGGAAAGAUUUUCUGUGCAAAAUGUCCAAAUGUUUGACCUGUUCUAAGGAAAUAGAAAGCUGUGAAAACAACCCAACAUGUUUCUGAUAAGAUUUCAGUUAGUCUUGGAUGCAUAUUUUAUGUGGUUGAAAUACUAUCAGCUUUUAUGAUGCUGAUAAAGAUAGCACCUCUACAGACGGUAUCUAACUGCACAUUCACAUUCUCUCAAGAUGAUGAAAGAAAGAAAUCAUAUUUCUCCAUUAAAUAAAUUGCCUACAUUUGCUGUAUAAUUUCACUGGAAGAAAUGUUUAAUUCUGCAGGAGUUAAUAGUGAGGCUAUGUGAGAGGUUAUAGACCUACAGUCAGUGUCCAGAUUUUGUUUUCCAUUUAACCCAUCUGAACAGGCUACAGUUCCCUUGACAUUCCAUAGGCCUAUUUGAAGUCCCAGUCUUGUGACUGCGGAAUUUGUAUAGCGUCUCACAAUCAUCACACAUAACACUGCUAUCAUCCUCUUUUACCACUUCAACAAAUCUUUCCCAAACAUUACUUUUCUGUCUCUCCCCUUAUUUUCAACUCUCCAUUUCGCAGCUUUUCUCUUAUUGAAUUAAACUUCGACAUUGUAUUUUUUGACUCCGUGAAUCGAGGUGAACUUUUUCUAACUCUUCCCAAAAGCAUUUGGAAUGUUGGAUAUUUGGUGCACGUACAGUUAGGCCCUAAAGCGUAGGCUUAUGCACGAAU